CAUUACCGAGUUUACAACUCCCAAACCCCUGUGAACAUACCUUAUGUUGCCUCGGCGGAUCAGCCCGCGCCCCGUAAAAAGGGACGGCCCGCCGCAGGAACCUUAAACUCUGUUUUUAGUGGAACUUCUGAGUAUAAAAAACAAAUAAAUCAAAACUUUCAACAACGGAUCUCUUGGUUCUGGCAUCGAUGAAGAACGCAGCAAAAUGCGAUAAGUAAUGUGAAUUGCAGAAUUCAGUGAAUCAUCGAAUCUUUGAACGCACAUUGCGCCCGCCAGUAUUCUGGCGGGCAUGCCUGUUCGAGCGUCAUUUCAACCCUCAAGCCCAGCUUGGUGUUGGGAGCUGCAGUCCUGCUGCACUCCCCAAAUACAUUGGCGGUCACGUCGAGCUUCCAUAGCGUAGUAAUUUACAUAUCGUUACUGGUAAUCGUCGCGGCCACGCCGUUAAACCCCAACUUCUGAAUGUUGACCUCGGAUCAGGUAGGAAUACCCGCUGAACUUAAGCAUAUCAA
rnacentral:rRNA from 1 species